rnacentral:rRNA from 1 species
GACGAACGCUGGCGGCGUGCUUAACACAUGCAAGUCGAACGGAAAGGCCCUGCUUUUGUGGGGUGCUCGAGUGGCGAACGGGUGAGUAACACGUGAGUAACCUGCCCUUUACUUUGGGAUAACUUCAGGAAACUGGGGCUAAUACCGGAUAGGAGCUCCUGCUGCAUGGUGGGGGUUGGAAAGUUUCGGCGGUUGGGGAUGGACUCGCGGCUUAUCAGCUUGUUGGUGGGGUAGUGGCUUACCAAGGCUUUGACGGGUAGCCGGCCUGAGAGGGUGACCGGCCACAUUGGGACUAAGAUACGGCCCAGACUCCUACGGGAGGCAGCAGUGGGGAAUAUUGCACAAUGGGCGGAAGCCUGAUGCAGCAACGCCGCGUGCGGGAUGACGGCCUUCGUGUUGUAAACCGCUUUCGCCUGUGACGAAGCGUGAGUGACGGUAAUGGGUAAAGAAGCACCGGCUAACUACGUG